ACGAGUUGGGUUAGACUAGAUGUCCUUGUCUUCACUAGAGGCACCAUCACGACCAAGGUCAGGAUUUGGGUCGUGAUACCGAGGAUCUCAACGGCGGCAACCCAUAAGACCAUAGAUACAAUGUCUAUUUUUGGGGUUUUCUCCUUCACUGAGCGUACACAGUAAAACCACUAUGGAAACACCUUGUAUUACCACCUAAAUUCAACAGUCUUUCAUAUCCCUGCACCACUGUUUCCUUCCUCUAAAUUCCAGCCAAAAGAAAAUGAUCUCCACUUGAAUGAAAAAUUAAAAAGCACUCCAAAUUCCACUUCCAAAAGAAGCUGAGAUUUCAUUUUGUUGGUUUAAAAUUCUGAUCAAUUUCUGAGAUGAGAUUUGAGAUUGAGGCGCGGUCAACAGGCGAUCCGUUCGAGGUUUUCGGGUUCUGGGUUCGUUUACGGACUGAUUUUCGGUUCAUGUCCAAUAGUUGUUGUUGUUGUUUGCCACUUUAUCUAUUUCCCGUCGACGGAUUUUUCCUCGCUUGAUCGAGUGUAAAGUUGUUUUGGGGCAAUUAUUGAAAAGCUACUCAAAGGUACACUUCAUUUCUCAUCUCAUAUUUGUCUUAUAUUAUGUUUUGUUUUUGUUUUAUAUUUUAGAAUCACAUUCCUUGGUUCAUUAUUUUGGAUUGAUCUAGUUCAUGUUGAUUUACUGUCAUCUCUUGAUUAGAACUAAUGCAUGAAGAUUAAGGGUCUAAAUGCUUCGGGGAAUUUAAGUUAAAAAGAAAUUGAAAGGACUUGGAUAUGUUUGGGUUAAUCAGCAUGGUUAAUUAAGAAAAUUGGACUUUAGAUAUCUUAUUAGUUUUACGAUUAUUCGCUAGGAACAUGUUUUAGGCCGACCAUACUUGGGUAGGCAAGCCUUAGGAUUUUGUUAGUUUUGAGGCGAGAGGUUAUUCCCUUAGCUAAAUUUAUCCGAGGAAUGCCCCGAAGGAUUUGUAUAUAUUUUAUUCCGGGGUAUGCCCCAUAGUAUCUUGUAUUUGGAGGCUGAAAGUAGAACUCGUAGUAUUUUUAUUUUUAUUUUUAUAUUCAUUUUCCUCUAUUUAGGUGGGGAGGACCUCGAGCCUCCUGUGCGUUUAUUUUCCUUUUUCUGUGUUUUCUACCUCAAUUCAAAUAUUUUAAAAGCCGAUUAGAUCAAGUAUGUAACCAUACUAGUUACAGGACUUGGGGAGUGCGUAACACCUUCCCCCCGAGUCAAAUGAACCCCCUUACCUGAAUCUCUGGUGCAAACUUAGUUUUGGAGUCCAAAGUGUUUUAAAAGGGAAAAAUUAUUUCUAAAAAAUGGUGACAUGGCACACCGAAACCAAUGUCAGGUGGCGACUCUGAAAAAUCCUUUUGAACACAAUUUUGUCACUUUUUAAUUAAAAACCCUUUUUGGGCUUACAAAUCCUUUUAUUAUUUUAAAAGGGUUAGUGAGGUUGUAAAAAGGGGUAUGACAUCUCUGGCGACUCCACUGGGGAGUUCCAGGUUCGAGCUGGUACUUGAUCUUGUUGGCUUUUAGGAUAUUCGUUUGAGGUGUUUGUUUUUUUAUUUGAUUUGUUUAUUUGGUUUAUUUGUCUUAUUUUCUUGUUUUGUUGGUCAUUUGUUUAUCGCUUUUCUUAUGUGUUACUGCUUUAUAAACUGUCAUCAUUUGUAUAACCAUGGGUCUUCUUUCUGCAACAAAUCUUCCGGAAUGCGUUUGAGCGUACACGGCCUUUUGUGAGUCACCCGUGUCUUUAGGGGGGGUGGCGUGGGAGCGUGGAGUGGGCGGACAACUAGAGCAGCCGCCAUCGACCACGUGCCGCCCCGAAUUGCCUUGUAUAGUGAACCCAAAACUUAGGUUAGCAUGUAGGUCAUUCUUAUUUGCAUCAUGUCAUUUGGACCUAGUAAGGCUCGGUCCUAGGUACCGUGUCUCUUUGUAGAAAGCCUAUCCAAAUUUUGUCAAAAAUGGGUGUGUGGCACAAAAAGACAUCCAAUCAUCCCUAUGUGAUACAUGUUGCAUCUUUAAGGGUAAAAAAGUCAUUUGGCGGACCGAUAUUUGGGAAAGAAGGGUGGAAAAUGAAGCAAGUAGGGCCCAAUUACUUUUUUCUUUCACAACCCUUUUCAAGAAAAAAAAAACAAAACAAUUUGAAAAUGAAAAAUCCAAAAAGAUUUUGCACUUUCCCAUCAUUUUCCAAAAAUCAAAAAAAAAAUCCAAAAGAUUUUACAUUUUCCAUCAUUUUUUCAAAAAGACAAAAAACUAUAGUUUUUCCAAAUUAGUUGCAUUUUUUAAGCUUUCUCCCGUGUCCGAUCUUCCCGAACUACGCAUACCUGAUUCUCGUCUUUCGUGGCAGGAUACAUAGGCAACCCACAUAGGGUUCGGUCUUCCUAGUGAGUUUAGGUUCUUGGCUUCGCGGGGUCCUAGCCAAAUCUUGCAUGUCCAGCCACUUUUGGCCACAUCGACAAUUCUUGCAAAAUGGGGUCAUUUUCGCAAAAGUGAUUCAAUAACCCAUGUCUUAGGAUCUUGAGUCCACAACUAGGUGUCAUAUUACUUUAAGGUCCGUCCUUUUUGAGUUUGCAUCUUUAGCCACUUCUGGCCAUAUCGGUCAUUUUUGCAAAAUGGGUUAUUUCUGCAAAUUAAUUUUGGGUCAUGAUUAUUGGGAAUUGAAUCCAUAUAAGCCUAAGUGAGGUAUUUCCAUAUCUAAGUAGUCACCCUUGUCGAGUUUGCACUUCUAGCCAUUCUUGGCCACGUAGGUUAAUUUUCAAAAAUAGCUCAAUCGUGUCUUGCAUGUGUCCAAUAGGAAGUGUUGUGGUGUUGCAACGUGUCUUGAGUAAUUGAUCUAUUUGGUAUUAUUUUUCUCAUUCAGGUGUGGAUUCAUUUACCAGGACUCGAGCAUGACAGAUACCCAGGACCACUGCAUUCAGGAGCUGCUUAAGGAGCUCUUUUAUAUUAUGAGUCUGUUUUUAUGUUUGUCUUUCCCUUUGUAUCAUGUCUAGUAGUUUUGAGUCUUUUAGGUGGUGUAAGAUUUUGUUAAGUCUUUUAUCAUCGUACUUUCCAUUUGUAUUUGAAAACCCAAAAAAAAAGUAAUAAAUGAAAAAUUCAAAAA
rnacentral:lncRNA from 1 species